UACGUAGGUGGCAAGCGUUGUCCGGAUUUAUUGGGCGUAAAGCGCGCGCAGGCGGCACUCUAAGUACGCUGUGAAAUAUCCCGGCUCAACCGGGAGGGUGCAGUGUAGACUAGGGAGCUAGAGGUCGGUAGAGGGGGGUGGAAUUGCUGGUGUAGCGGUGAAAUGCGUAGAGAUCAGCAGGAACACCCGUGGCGAAGGCGGCCCCCUGGGCCGUACCUGACGCUGAGGCGCGAAAGCUAGGGGAGCAAACGGG
rnacentral:rRNA from 1 species